rnacentral:pre_miRNA from 1 species
ACAUUAGGGCUUGAUUCUGCUCCACUGAAGUCAAUGGGAGUUUUACCAUUGAUUUCAAUGGGAGCAGGAUCAAGCCCUUUAGU